rnacentral:rRNA from 1 species
CCUACGGGAGGCAGCAGUGGGGAAUUUUGGACAAUGGGCGCAAGCCUGAUCCAGCCAUGCCGCGUGCGGGAAGAAGGCCUUCGGGUUGUAAACCGCUUUUGUCAGGGAAGAAAUCCUUUGGGUUAAUACCUCGGAGGGAUGACGGUACCUGAAGAAUAAGCACCGGCUAACUACGUGCCAGCAGCCGCGGUAAUACGUAGGGUGCGAGCGUUAAUCGGAAUUACUGGGCGUAAAGCGUGCGCAGGCGGUUAUGCAAGACAGAUGUGAAAUCCCCGGGCUCAACCUGGGAACUGCAUUUGUGACUGCAUAGCUAGAGUACGGUAGAGGGGGAUGGAAUUCCGCGUGUAGCAGUGAAAUGCGUAGAUAUGCGGAGGAACACCGAUGGCGAAGGCAAUCCCCUGGACCUGUACUGACGCUCAUGCACGAAAGCGUGGGGAGCAAACAGGAUUAGAUACCCUGGUAGUCCACGCCCUAAACGAUGUCAACUGGUUGUUGGACGGCUUGCUGUUCAGUACGAAGCUAACGCGNGAGUGACGCGNGGAGACGCGCGAGUAGACGACGAGAGUAGAGCGNGAGAGNGCGAGACGACGACGAGGGAGGAGG